rnacentral:lncRNA from 1 species
UCUAAAAUCUUUGAGGUCACUCGACUCAGACUGAUCAAUCUCCUGUCAUUUUCUACAUGCUUCCCAUGCAUCAAUGUAUUUCUUAGGUCAUAACCGCGCUUUAUUCCUUAAGGUUAGGAUUUUUGGGCCGAAUUUGAACGUCUAGUGGCAGCCAUGAUCAACAACUGCAACACCAUGGCAACUAUCCUUGUCUUAACUUGCCCUCUCUUAGGAAGUGGCCUAUGCUCUUUCAUCUUCUUGUCAAGUAACAUAGGCAUAGCUGCUGCAUCAUUUAUUCUUAGGGACAUCUUGCUUGAACCUUUGAUGAUUGUUAGUGUUUUGACAAUGCAAUUGCAUGAAUUAUAACUAUAUAUAAAGCACUAGCAUUGCUUGUUCAUUCAAGAAACAGCGCCCCCUUUCUUUGUAGCUACAAUAAUAAGGUUGUUUUGAUGAACAAAAGGACAAGG